rnacentral:rRNA from 1 species
UACAGAGGGUGCAAACGUUGUUCGGAAUUACUGGGCGUAAAGCGUGUGUAGGCGGCUAGGCAAGUCGGAUGUGAAAGCCCCGGGCUCAACCCGGGAAGUGCACUCGAUACUGCAGAGCUUGAGUAUCGGAGAGGUUGGUGGAAUUCUCGGUGUAGAGGUGAGAUUCGUAGAUAUCGAGAGGAACAUCGGCGGCGAAGGCGGCCAACUGGACGAAUACUGACGCUGAGACACGAAAGCGUGGGGAGCAAACAGG